CCCUUAGAUGUCCUGGGCCGCACGCGCGCUACACUGACAUGUUCAACAAGCCUCCUAGUUCGACAGGAUUUGGGAAAUCUUUGAACGCAUGUCGUGAUAGGGAUAGAUCAUUGCAAUUAUUGAUCUUGAACGAGGAAUUCCUAGUAAACGCGAGUCUUCAGCUCGCAUUGAUUACGUCCCUGCCCUUUGUACACACCGCCCGUCGCACCUACCGAUUGAAUGUUUCGGUGAAGAUUCCGGAUAGGACUUUUUUGAUUUAUUUCAAUUUUGUCUUAAAAGCUAUCUAAACCUCAACAUUUAGAGGAAGGUGAAGUCGUAACA
rnacentral:rRNA from 1 species